rnacentral:lncRNA from 1 species
UUCUUACAUUUUAAUGUGAACCCUGCCAUCUCAAUGGCCCUGCUCUCAUCUGCUCCCAACUCACUUGUUAUCAUUCUGACUGCACUGAGAUACUCAAAGGGAUCAUCUCCCGUAUUGAAUUUAGGAGCAUCCAACUUUAAGUACUCCGUCAUCUUCACCUUAGUUCCCCCUGAAGAACUGGGUUGUGCUUCAACAACAGGGGCUACUGGUUCAGGUGGUGGUGGUGGAGGUACUGUUUCUCUG